AACGCGAAGAACCUUACCUGGGCUCGAAAUGUUGUGGACCGGGGUGGAAACAUCCCUUCCCCGCAAGGGGCUGCAAUAUAGGUGCUGCAUGGCUGUCGUCAGCUCGUGUCGUGAGAUGUUGGGUUAAGUCCCGCAACGAGCGCAACCCUUACCCCCAGUUGCCAUCAUUUAGUUGGGCACUCUGGUGGAACCGCCUCGGAUAACGGGGAGGAAGGUGGGGAUGACGUCAAGUCCUCAUGGCCUUUAUGUCCAGGGCUACACACGUGCUACAAUGGCCGGUACAAACCGUCGCAAACCCGUGAGGGGGAGCUAAUCGGAAAAAGCCGGCCUCAGUUCGGAUCGCAGUCUGCAACUCGACUGCGUGAAGCUGGAAUCGCUAGUAAUCGCGGAUCAGAACGCCGCGGUGAAUACGUUCCCGGGCCUUGUA
rnacentral:rRNA from 1 species